AUUGAACGCUGGCGGCAGGCCUAACACAUGCAAGUCGAACGGUAACAGGAAGAAGCUUGCUUCUUUGCUGACGAGUGGCGGACGGGUGAGUAAUGUCUGGAAACUGCCUGAUGGAGGGGGAUAACUACUGGAAACGGUAGCUAAUACCGCAUAACGUCGCAAGACCAAAGAGGGGGACCUUCGGGCCUCUUGCCAUCGGAUGCGCCCAGAUGGGAUUAGCUAGUAGGUGGGGUAACGGCUCACCUAGGCGACGAUCCCUAGCUGGUCUGAGAGGAUGACCAGCCACACUGGAACUGAGACACGGUCCAGACUCCUACGGGAGGCAGCAGUGGGGAAUAUUGCACAAUGGGCGCAAGCCUGAUGCAGCCAUGCCGCGUGUAUGAAGAAGGCCUUCGGGUUGUAAAGUACUUUCAGCGGGGAGGAAGGGAGUAAAGUUAAUACCUUUGCUCAUUGACGUUACCCGCAGAAGAAGCACCGGCUAACUCCGUG
rnacentral:rRNA from 1 species